rnacentral:tRNA from 2 species
GGUCUCGUAGUACAAUGGAUAGGACGAGGGUCUCCGAAGCCCUAGAUGCAGGUUCGAUUCCUGCCGAGACCA